rnacentral:rRNA from 1 species
UACGUAGGGUGCGAGCGUUGUCCGGAAUUAUUGGGCGUAAAGAGCUUGUAGGCGGUUUGUCGCGUCUGCCGUGAAAGCCCGGGGCUUAACCCCGGGUCUGCAUUCGAUACGGGCUAGCUAGAGUGUGGUAGGGGAGAUCGGAAUUCCUGGUGUAGCGGUGAAAUGCGCAGAUAUCAGGAGGAACACCGGUGGCGAAGGCGGAUCUCUGGGCCAUUACUGACGCUGAGGAGCGAAAGCGUGGGGAGCGAACAGG